rnacentral:lncRNA from 1 species
CCAAAGUAGCUAUGGCCAUUCAUAUGUCUGGCAACGCUGUACUUGACUUGGACAAGGCUCGAGCCUUGCUUCAAAAAAGAAAAGCUAUAGGAGAAGGCACGGAGAAUGAGGAAGAGGAAGAUACCUCGUUAGUAGCUAGGCCAAGGGUUAGGAGACGAGUCAUCAAUGAUGAUGAAAUUGAAGAUAUUCCUGCUCAACCUCCAACCACCGAGCCUGUUUUGAUUCUUUCAGACGAGGAUACCGUGCCAAGAGGUACGUACCAACUCAGCGUCCCUUUGAUAGUGGCUUUUGGAGUAGUGAGCUCGGACCUGUUUUUGAUGAAGCCCCUCUUUCUUCAUUCAUUCCUACUUACUCUAUUCCUUUGCCAAUUGUAAAUGUUUCAUCGUCACCAUUGAUUGUUUCUGUUCCUUCACCAGUUUUGACUACUCCCACUCCUGUUCCUGGGUCAAUUUCUACAUCUUCUCCCUCCGUUCCUGCUUCAAUUCCUACUACUCUUGUGUUGUUUACUUUUUCCACUACUCCCCCCUCUGUUGUUCCAUGUUCAUCUGCCCCUCCGAUAGAAGUAAGCUCUAGCAAUAGAGGCAUGGCUAUGAGGAGUAUCACCCUCGAAGUUCCUGCCAAUCAAAGUCUUUUAAGAAAAUCUGGGGAGGCAGAUACUUGGCUCGAGCCCCUUAUUGGAGAGAUUGAGAGGAACAAAAUACAGAGCCACAGUUGCUACACCUUGAUGAAUGACAUAGUUCAUUCAACAUUGAAGGUAAUUUUCUUGACGUUGAAUGUUUUUCUUCUUUUCCUUUCUAAGUCCUGACUUUUAUGUUUUAUAACCCUAGGCUAAUCUUAUUGGGACCGAGCUGAUGGGGCGAGUCUCUUUGUUAGAGAGAAAGGAGCGUGAGUCCACAAAGGCUAUCUCUGAAGCUUGGAAAAUAGCUGAGGAUGCCAUACUUGAAGCAGCGAACUGGAAAGACCAAUUUGAGAGUGCUCAAUGGAUUAUAGAGGAAUUACAGGAGAGUAAGAUUCAUUUGGAGCAACAAACGUAGCUUAUCUUCGGAGUUGGGAAUUGCCAAUGCUUCGUGGGGGCAGCUUAAAAAAGAUAAAGAGCUUUUAGAAUGCUCUUUAUCUAAAGCAAAAUGAUGAGGUUAAAGAGCUUAAGGCCCUUUUGGAGAAGAAGGAGGAAUAUGCACGGGAGUUGGCAGAGAACCUAACUCAUGCUCAAAAUGACCUGAGGACUUCUUCAGAGAAAAUUCUUGCCUUGGAGAAUUCUCAUGCCUCUCUUGAAGCUUCAUUGGAUUCCCACCUAGCUAAGCACCAAAUAUCAAAAAAUGAUAUUGCUAUGUGGGAAAAGGAAUACUAAUUCCCAUGCCUCUCUUGAAGCUUCAUUGGAUUCCCACUUAGCUGAGCACCAAAUAGCAAUAAAUGAUAUUGCUAUGUGGGAAAAAGAAUACAAGGCUUUAGAGAAGGAGUACAAUGCCCUUGAAGAGAAUUUUAACAUAGAAGUGAGUUGGGCUUUUCUAAAUUCUCGUCGUGAUGUCUUGAUGGAGGCUACACAAGAAAAUUUUGACUUUCAAUCUGAACUGGCCAAUGUCAUGAAUACUAUUGAGAAAAGCCAACAACUUGCUGAUACUCCUUCUCCUGCCCUUGGAAGUAUUGGUACCCUUUCUCCAGCUCUUGAAGCUCAUGGAACAGAUGAGUUAUUAAAUUCUGAAGCAAUUACUGAGGUGGCUGAAGCUGUGAUUCCAGUUUCUGAAGGUGAAGCUCUAUGACACAACCUGUGGGAAUUGAGGUUCCCAUGACUACUUCUUCCCUUGCUGAAACUUCAGGCUUAGCUGAAUCCAUACCUAUUGCUGCUUCUUCAAAAGUUGUUACCAUGCCUAUUGUUGCCUCUGAAAGUGAGGUUACAACUUUUGAAGUUCCAACUUCUUCAGUGAACAAUUAAGUUUUUGCUGUUUUUGUUCUUUUUUUUUAGUACUGUUGAUAUUAUUCCUUGACAAUAUUUUAAAGGAUCUUUUGAUGAAGUCCCCAGUUACUAGAAUGGGGCAUUUGUAAACAAAUAUUUGUG